GAAAAUUUGAAAGAUAUCUCAGAACCAAGAACCAUCUGGCUAAAAGAAUACGACUGAACUUUAAAUUGAUUAAAGGAAUUAUUCUGGUUCUCUGCAAAAAUUGCUAAUACGGAAAUUCCGGGGAAGGUAGAGUUUUCUCUGGCUUCCAGGAUCCCACAAAACACACUUUAGAGAUUCAGUCUCCUUUGACUAUGCCUCUGGUGGUGGCAGCGGCGGCAGGGCUGCUUGCAGUUUAUGCUUUAAUACUCAAGUUGUAAUGACCUCUAAUUUUGUUGUUUUUCUUUAUGAUCAUUUUUUCGAAAGAAAAUUGUCUUUCAAUUAUACACGGCUUAUUUUUUAUUAGGUUGGGACUCAACACAGCGCAGAUUAGCUUAGAAAGAUGGGGUGUUCUCUAGACAGAAAGAACACAUGGAUUUGCUUCAGAGCUUUUAUCCUGCAUUGACCACCAGAGGGCGACAUUGCACCGGUUGGCUGCCUCCUUUUCUGCAGCUGAUCCCCACUUUCAACUCAGUUGCUCCCUAUAUCUGGCUGAGUCCUUAGAACAUCUGAUAAGUGAAGAAGUGAAGACAGUCAGAGGCAGAAGGUUCUCAGGACUAAAAUCGCAUCUGCAGGUUUUUUAUUUAUUUAUUUUUUUGUAUUCAUUUAAACUAGAAAGGUGUCUAGACAACAUUUUUUUUUCUUUGUCUUCAAGAACUGGGAAGUGCAGCCAUUUUUCUGAAUGUGACAAGCUAUUCCAGAAAGGCACUAGAGGUGUUUCCACUGCUCAGCCAUGUUUCCAGUCAUUAUCUCAUUCCUGGGGAUACAGUUUUUCAUGGGAGAUGUCCAAGCACAGUCAGUUACACAGCUGGAUUCCCAUGUCACUGUCUUUGAAGGAAACUUGGUGGAGCUCAGAUGCAACUAUUCCUACAGUGGAGCUCCGUACCUCUUCUGGUACAUGCAGCGCCCUGGCCAUGGCCUCCAGCUUCUCCUCAGCUACCGUUCAGGAAGUUCUGUGGUUCAUGGAAUAAAUGGUUUCGAAGCUAACUUUCAUAAGAGUAACUCUUCCUUCCAACUGAAGAAAACCUCUGUGCACUGGAGAGACUCGGCUGUGUACUUCUGUGCUCUGAGUGCACAGUGUCAGAGGCUGCAGGGGGAGCUGAACACAAACCUGUAAGAUGCUGGGGAGAGCUGUAGCUGAAUGACUUUAGAUCAUCCAUGUUCCUGUAACUAACCUAAAUAAACUUUUAGUUCUUCAAGUUGAACUUCUCUGGAAACAUUACUUUAUUCUGCUAUUGGUGCCCUAUCUGCAGGGCAUAGACAUUUGGUCAUAAAUCCCAUUAAAGGUGACAUAACAGGGUAAAAAUCAAAAAAUGACUGAGACAUGGUUCCUUCUUUUAGGGCUGUUUUGUAGACUGCAUUUUCUACUAACUGAUGAUCUCCAAGAGACUUGACUUCACAACUCUGUUCCACAUAAACAUUGACUGCAGCGGAUGCCUCUGUAGUAUGCACUAGAGGGAGAAGUGUUGGCUUCUUUUUUUCUUCAGACUGAACAGGAUCUGAAUAAGGACUCAUCUGGAUUAGGCUCACAUGUGAAGACACAGCCUGAACAUGGCAGCAUCAUUUCCAGAAUUUGGCCCUGCACACUGAGUAGAAUGGAGAGAAUGAGUAGAGCAGGGCACAAAAGCAUUCUGAGCUCUUUGUUCUUGAUGAUGGGUGCGAUGUCACAAGUUCACUCAAGCUUUGGCUGCUGUGACUUCCACGCUAUGAAGGACUGUAACCUGGAACUGUCAGGUCAAAUGAAUCCUCUUCCUUCUGAGUGAUCAUGCUCAGGGUGGCUCUUUUUUCACAGCAACUGGAAAGGGAGCUGUGAUGUCGUUCUUACUCCAGUCCAUGGCUGCUUUCUUAGAUUGUGAGCACAGAAGGCAUGGAAGAACCAGAGUCUGACCUCAACGGAUGAAACUGUAUCAGUGAGGGUCAGAUGCUCUCUCAUGGGAAAUGGGGGUCUGCCAGGAAGGAGGGGAAUACUUGGAGUUUAUAGAGAGAUUGGGAUGAGGAAUCUUGUGCAGUUGCAAGGGGCUACAUCCAAGUCUGCAAUCUCUCAUCCCCCAUGUUGUAGGUUUAUUUGAGACAGACUAUCAUGGGAAGCAGGAUGUCUCACCAAAGGAUUUCCUUUCUGGAGCUCACUGGUCAGGACUGGAACAAGAACAGCUAUGAUCUCAUAGAAAUUCUGUUUGUACAACUGAGGCACAUAAUCAUGUGUGAGAAUUGUGGUAUUAUUUCUUCUUCAGUAAAUGUGACCAAUGUCCCAUAAAUACACAAAUAAGAAAGUGGAAACCCCAAAAUUUAAACAGUUAUAUUUGCUUUUUGACAAAUUAUGAUAUUCUUUAAGAGUAUUUAUCUAAAUUUAGUUAUACUCAGCUAUAAAAUUUCAAUUAAAAUUUAAAACAUUCAAAUUUAAUUUAAAAUUUAAAACAAGUUGCAAUUGUUCUUGCUUUUCUCAUUGUUAUUUCCUUUCAUCCCUUUCCCAAAUUUGCAUUUCUAAUAUACAUAUAUAUAUAUAUAUAUGUGUGUGUGUGUGUGUAUGUUAAUAUAAUAUAACUCUGAGUUUUUAAAGUAUAUGUCAGUAAUAAAAUAUUGCAUGUAUGAUUGUGAGUUUUGCUGUUUUACUAAGAUAACUCAGAGACAUGAAAAAUGUGUAGCAAUAUCUUUCAGUGUUUUUAACUGCUGUACAUCUUCUCAGUUGAGGAAUAUGCAAUGUGUCACUUUGGAUGGGUGUUUGGGUGAGGCAGUGCCAGCAGAAGUAAUAGAAGUCUCAAUCAGAAGUCAGGUUCACAAAGGCCAGUAGUCACCACCAGUCUUGUUUCCAAGGUAGUGCUUCUUCCUUCUGCAGAGCUCAGCCUUCCUUUUUUUCAUCUUUGUCACCUUUUCUCCCAAGUCGAUGAUCAGCCAAGAAGGACCAAGACCAACAGUCCACCCAAACUUAGAAGGAGUUUGCUGCAAACAGAAACCAAUACUUACUGUCACAACUACCACAGUCACUGAGGUAUCAUUAUUAAGUAUCUAUAAUUCUUUUGCAGUCCCGGUCCAUUUUAUGAACUGGAUUCCUGCUGCUGCAGCAGUGCUCACUGUGAUGCAGUUGACCUUGAUCUCUACCUGGUUUCUAGAGAAAGUUAGAAACUUAACCUAGGUUUUUCAUGAAGGAUUUUUAACUCUGUUCUAGGAAGACUUUUAUUACAAAGACCACACAAGGAAUAUAAUCCUAGCUAUUUCCCUGUUUAGAGGAGACUUUUGCACUCAGUGGUUUGCACUGCUAUAGGAUUUGUGCUUAUAAAAAAAUUUCUCAUGAGGUUCCUCAAGAUAGCGGAUUGGGUAAAGGGGUUUGUUAACAACCCUGCAAACCUGACUUUAGUCCCUGGGAUUCAAGUGGUGGACAGAGAAAAGUGACUGCCAUAAAUUGUCUUCUUAUCGCUCCAUGCACUGUUAUAUGUGCACAGACAUGUAAAUGAAUAAAUGUAAUAAAAACUGCUUGUGGUUGU